UCUGUCAGGUGCGGAGGCUACCUCACUAGAGUCGAUAGAUGCUUCCUCUAGCUCAGAAUUCUUCAUUUCGAGUUCAAACUUAACCAUCACAACUUCAAAGAACAUCUAUGACCUAGGGUUUUCAUUUAUAGAGAGCUCACCUUAUUUGGAUUCUUCUGCAUCAAUAAUGGGUGAAAGGUGUUUGCGAGAUGGAUUAGUCUCUUAACGGAGCGACUUACCCUUUGUCAACAAAGUUUGAGAGAUUAACCUCAUUGAUGGUACCAGCUGGAUGCUGUGGGUGGAAAUUUCUGCCAGAUUUGCUUGAGAGCUCCACUAACUUACAUUUUUUUCGAACUUUUUCAUGUCAGCUUAUGGCCCUCUUAUGUCGAGAGUGAAAGAGAAUCAUAGAAUGUAAAAGGAGUAAUUCUGUUAAGACUUUGAUUGUAUUUUUAGUGGAGAGUGUAUUGAAUAGUUGUUUUUGUUGUAAUUAGCUUUAGGAAUGUUGAGAAACACAUAGUGGAUGCUGGAGGGUUCCUAAGCAAGUUCCCAGUUGGUUGCUGUCAAGUCUCAGAGAAAUUUUUAUUCAAAAUUUUACUGGCCUCAAAGAUGAGCUUUCAACAGCAAGGUAUCUUCUGAAUCAUGGAAGAGCCCUCAAAAGAAUAAAGCUACAUUCUGGUCUACCUCCGGAUGACAUCAAGGAAAAGUUCCGCUUAAGAGGAUAUCAAUCUUCCCCAGAAAGUCAUCUACAUGUGUGAUUGAAUUUGCUUGAGAUGGCUUCAAUGAUCGUGGCCGUUGAGCUUUUCCCAUGGGUGAUGUAAUUAAGGCAGAAUCAAGGUUUAAUUUCUCGAUGUUAAAUGCAUUUGAAGUUGGGUGCACAAAUAUGUUCUGCUGUGCUGGUUAUUCAUUAAAGGAUACAAUCUAUGUGAAUAAAGUAUCUUGCUAUCAUUGUUUUGGCAAUGAGGAAUUUUGUUGGUCCUUUAUGUUUGAACUUUCUAUACGAACUCUUCUUUUGUGCUUUUCAACAAACAUUGUUCAUUUGGUGUUGUUUAUGACAUGAUUGUACAAGCUUUGAACUUUGCAUGGCAGUCUUGCUUCAUUA